rnacentral:rRNA from 1 species
UACGUAGGGUGCAAGCGUUGUCCGGAAUUAUUGGGCGUAAAGAGCUCGUAGGCGGUUUGUCGCGUCUGCUGUGAAAAUCCCGAGGCUCAACCUCGGGCCUGCAGUGGGUACGGGCAGACUAGAGUGCGGUAGGGGAGAUUGGAAUUCCUGGUGUAGCGGUGGAAUGCGCAGAUAUCAGGAGGAACACCGAUGGCGAAGGCAGAUCUCUGGGCCGUAACUGACGCUGAGGAGCGAAAGCGUGGGGAGCGAACAGG